GACAGGGGUGCCAAGCGUUAGGCGGAAUCACUGGGCUUAAAGCGUGUGUAGGCGGAUCGUUAAGUACCUUGUGAAAUCCCACGGCUCAACCGUGGAACUGCUGGGUAUACUGGCGAUCUUGAGCCACCUAGGGGCGAGCGGAACAAGCGGUGGAGCGGUGAAAUGCGUAGAUAUCGCUUGGAACGCCAAUGGUGAAAACAGCUCGCUGGGGGUGUGCUGACGCUGAGACACGAAAGCCAGGGGAGCGAACGGG
rnacentral:rRNA from 1 species